rnacentral:rRNA from 1 species
CCCUUAGAUGUUCUGGGCCGCACGCGCGCUACACUGAUGCAUUCAACGAGCCUAUCCUUGACCGACAGGUCCGGGUAAUCUUUGAAUCUGCAUCGUGACGGGGAUAGAUUAUUGCAAUUAUUAAUCUUCAACGAGGAAUGCCUAGUAGGCACAAGUCAUCAGCUUGCGUCGAUUACGUCCCUGCCCUUUGUACACACCGCCCGUCGCUCCUACCGAUUGGGUGUGCUGGUGAAAUGUUCGGAUCGGCCGUUUGUCGCGGUUUCCGCGUCAUGUGGCUGAGAAGUUCAUUAAACCCUCCCACCUAGAGGAAGGAGAAGUCGUAACA